rnacentral:rRNA from 1 species
UACGGAGGAUGCAAGUGUUAUCCGGAAUCCCUGGGCGUAAAGCGUCUGUAGGUGGUUUAAUAAGUCAACUGUUAAAUCUUGAGGCUCAACCUCAAAAUCGCAGUCGAAACUAUUAGGCUAGAGUAUAGUAGGGGUAAAGGGAAUUUCCAGUGGAGCGGUGAAAUGCGUAGAGAUUGGAAAGAAUACCGAUGGCGAAGGCGGCAUCCUGGACCAACAUUGACGCUGAUGAGCGAAAGCUAGGGGAGCAAACGGG